ACAUAUUUUACUUACAAAGCAAUUUAUAAUACUCAAAAAAUGACUUUAAAAGCCGAAUAUAGUGUCAUUUCCGAAUAUUCGAUUAUACUCUCUAUCUACAACCAAACAUCAUAUGCUUCUUAAGCAAAUCAUAAAAAUAUUGUUGGCUGAAAUAGAUCCAACUUCUUCUGUGACAAUAGGCUCAGAAAACUAAAAAGUUGAUUCGGAUUGAGUCCGACAAGGUGAGUAGGGUUGCGGUCCAUAACAAACCUAAUAGCAAGAGACCCAACAUUCAGAUGAAAUGAGUUAGAUUGAAAUCUAUGGGCACUGUGACUGAGCUCUUAAGUGUGAUGUAUAUAUUCUUUCUAUCAGCAUAUGUUUUUGGGACUGUUGGUUAGCGCUAAUAAUCAAUAAAUGUUUGAAUAAGAUAUUGCUUGAACACAUAAAUAAUGCUUAAGGAAAUAGUACAAUUAGAUGUCGACAAUAAUAUAAUAAUAUGCCCACUAUUCAGACUACAAAUCAUUUUCAUCUAGAUGGAAUGAAUUAUCUCAACACAUGAAGUCUAUUUAUACCUUGGAGAAGUAUAAAGAUAUCAUAAAUAUUAUACAGAGUUAGUUAUUAUUAUUAUUAUUAUUAUUAUUUGUAGGCGUAUAUCUUUAUACUUCUCUUUUUUUUUCUGUAUAAUAUUUAUGAUAUCUUCACUACAACAGAAUUAGGUUAUAGGGACACAUAUUUGGGACACUUUUGAUUAAGUGUCCCAUUUAUGCUAAAACUUAAAAAAACAUCUACUAAUGCCUAAAUAUAAAGCCCAAUCCAAUAAAAAAUAAAAGAUUACUCUACUCAACCCACCACACCCAGUCCAUUUGGCCCGAUUACAAACAGAAAAGAAAAAAGAAAAGAAAAAUCAAUUACCAUCUUUUCUUCUCUCUUCACUCAAUCUAUUGAAAUUCUAGACGAAGAGCCUUUCCUGUCGUCCUCCUCCGCCACCGCAGCCAACGAGAUAGAGUUUCGGCUGUUGCUAGAUGCUUAAAUAAGUGUUGGUAAAUUAGCAACACUCUUUUAGGUUAUAGCGACACUCUUUAACUGUCACUAUAUACCUAGCGACCCCACAUAUAGCAACACUUUUUAAAAGUGUCGGUAAUUUUAGCUAGCAGCACUUUUUUAACAUGUACCUACAUUUAAAAGUGUCGCUAUAAACCUAAAGAUGUACGCCCUUCAAAUAAUAAUAAUAAUAAUAAAACAUUCUGUAUAAUUUUUAUAAUAUUGUUCGUCAGAGUAGAGAGCUAUUUCAAAAGCUAGGUCAACAAGAUGCGAUGAUCUCUGAAAUUUUUGUUUACAAUAAUUCAUAAAAAAAAUUAUAAUUUACCAAAUAAUUCCUGCAAAAAAUUAUUUGGCAAACUAAUCGUUUUUGGCAAACUAAUCUUAUUCUAUUCAACUCAGCAUCAUAGUUGAAAAAAAUAAGUAAAAGCCGAUAAAUCAUUCACCUUUUUUAUUAAAAACGGAAUCAUUAAAAGUUAUUAUUGAGAUUGUUAUAGAUUGUUAUGGAAGAAUCGUUUAGAAAAAAAAAAAUAAAUCGUUAAAAGUUAUUCAUUAUUUUUUUAAUAUAAAAGAAAAAAAAUAAAGCGUUCACCGCUCUCUUUUCAAAGUUCAAACACGUCACACAAUGCACCGACUUUUUCAUUCCCACAUCUGGAUAGUAUUAACAUGGCAUUAUCGUGACGAAAAUAAGACUAUUUAGCCAAAUAAACUUUUGAUUAGAGAAGUCAACAGAUCGGAUUCGGGGCAGAUUUUUAAAAAUCCGAACCCAAACCCAACUACAAACCCAAGACCCGAACCCGACGGAUUUUAAAAAUUCAUAUCCAAACCCGAACCCGAACCCGAUCAAAAAUCUAAAAUCCGAACCCGAACCCGAACACAAAAAUUUAAACCGAAACAAUUUUUUCUUUUUUCAAUAUUUCAAAAUAUAUUAUAUUAAAUCUAAAUUUUUAAAAUACAAAUUCAAAUAUAACAUCAAAUUUUUAUACAUAUAUUAUAUAUAAUACAAAAUAAAUUCGAAUUCGGGUCGGGUUCAGGUUCAGGUCAGGUACAAUCAAAAUCCAUAUCCGAAUCCAUAUCCGUCGGAUUUCUAUUUUUGAUAUCCAAAUCCAUAUCCAUAUCCAUCUCCAUCGAAUAUAUCCGUUUCAUUCGUAUUCAGGUUCGGAUAAAAUUUCGGAUAUCCAUACCCAUUGACAUCCCUACUUUUGAUGGCAUUAUUUGACCAAAUAUGAAAUUUU
rnacentral:lncRNA from 1 species